GACGAACGCUGGCGGCGUGCUUAACACAUGCAAGUCGAACGGAAAGGCCCUGCUUGCAGGGUACUCGAGUGGCGAACGGGUGAGUAACACGUGGGUGAUCUGCCCUGCACUUCGGGAUAAGCCUGGGAAACUGGGUCUAAUACCGGAUAGGAGCCAUUUUUAGUGUGAUGGUUGGAAAGUUUUUUCGGUGUAGGAUGAGCUCGCGGCCUAUCAGCUUGUUGGUGGGGUAAUGGCCUACCAAGGCGGCGACGGGUAGCCGGCCUGAGAGGGUGGACGGCCACAUUGGGACUGAGAUACGGCCCAGACUCCUACGGGAGGCAGCAGUGGGGAAUAUUGCACAAUGGGCGCAAGCCUGAUGCAGCGACGCCGCGGGGGGGAUGACGGCCUUCGGGUUGUAAACUCCGUUCGCUAGGGACGAAGCUUUUUGUGACGGUACCUAGAUAAGAAGCACCGGCUAACUACGUG
rnacentral:rRNA from 1 species